rnacentral:rRNA from 1 species
UACGUAGGAUCCAAGCGUUGUCCGGAUUUACUGGGUGUAAAGGGUUCGCAGGCGGACUUAUAAGUCAGUGGUGAAAUCUCACAGCUUAACUGUGAAACUGCCUUUGAUACUGUAGGUCUUGAAUUAGGGAGAGAUUCGUGGAAUUCCGAGUGUAGCAGUGAAAUGUGUAGAUAUUCGGAAGAACACCAGAGGCGAAGGCAGCGAAUUGGCCCUAUAUUGACGCUCAGGCACGAAAGCAUGGGGAUCAAACAGG